GGAGCGAUAGUUCAGUUGGUUAGAAUACCGGCCUGUCACGCCGGGGGUCGCGGGUUCGAGUCCCGUCCGCUCCGCCA
rnacentral:tRNA from 1 species